CAAUAGCGUAUAUUAAAGUUGUUGCAGUUAAAAAGCUCGUAGUCGGAUUUCUGGUGGGAGCGAUCGGUCUGGCGCUUAGCGCGAGUACUUGCAUCGUCUCCGGCCAUCCUUGGGGAGAGUCUGUCUGGCAUUAAGUUGUCGGGCAGAGGAUCCUCAUCGUUUACUGUGAAAAAAUUAGAGUGUUCAAAGCAGGCUUAUGCCGUUGAAUAUAUUAGCAUGGAAUAAUAAGAUAGGACUUUGGUACUAUUUUGUUGGUUUGCGCACCAAAGUAAUGAUUAAUAGGGACAGUUGGGGGUAUUCGUAUUCCGUUGUCAGAGGUGAAAUUCUUGGAUUUACGGAAGACGAACUACUGCGAAAGCAUUUACCAAGGAUGUUUUCAUUAA
rnacentral:rRNA from 1 species